rnacentral:rRNA from 2 species
UUUUAACUAAAAAAGUAGAUAUUAAAUAUCUGAUCCCAUGCCGAACUCAAACAUAACUCUAUCUUUGCUAAAACUACUAUUUUUAUGGAAUUCUUAGACAGUUAAAA